rnacentral:rRNA from 1 species
UGAGGAAUAUUGGUCAAUGGGCGGAAGCCUGAACCAGCCAUGCCGCGUGAAGGACUAAGGCCCUACGGGUCGUAAACUUCUUUAGACGCAGAGCAAUAAGGUCCACGUGUGGACCGAUGAGAGUAUGCGUAGAAUAAGCAUCGGCUAACUCCGUGCCAGCAGCCGCGGUAAUACGGGGGAUGCGAGCGUUAUCCGGAUUCAUUGGGUUUAAAGGGUGCGUAGGCGGCCGAGUAAGUCAGCGGUGAAAGACCGGGGCUCAACCCUGGAAGUGCCGUUGAUACUGUUUGGCUGGAAUGAUCCCGCCGCGGGAGGAAUGAGUGGUGUAGCGGUGAAAAUGCAUAGA